AAGCGGCUUAUUGGGGUUACGGUUGUUGACAGACGGAAGUGUUAAGAGGUGAAAAUAUUAACACAUGCUAUGGGCGCCCUACCAAAGGAUGCACGUUGACGAAGCUUUAACAUGCGGAAGUGAAAUAAAAUUGCAUUUCGUGAUGGUGGGUCAUCUAACGUUUGAAGCCUAAAACAUGAGAUUCGGAUUCAUGAUGAAUCAGUUCAGGAGCGCAUACCUAGUAAACCUUUGCACAUUACCUUACGCAACCAGCAGAAUUUUGUGAAGCGUAUUUAGAUAUAAUUUUUUACUGCCUGCAUAUACAUUGAUUACACACUUCUCCUUACCUGCGUCCUCUUGUGCCGACCACGACGUUGUGCAAGUACGACGCAGGCGCACCAUCCGUUCAAUAUGACUUAUCCGCCCAGUGGCUUGCAGGCGAACAAACCAAAAUUGCAACUGAAUUCCUUCGCUUUAUACGCUUGAAUUUAUAAUGCGAGACUUUAUCUAGACACCUAAUCCCUGCCAAUUGGGGAGGCUAUAAAUUCAAGUCAGUCCCUUCAUGCGAUAACCUUCGCAGCACCCACAGUUUAUGAGCAACAAAAGCGCAAAGAAAACAAAACAAACAAAAGGCUUAUACUGUCCAACGACAGCGAAGAAGAAAAUUGUUGAGUGCCAGUAAGAGUAGACGAAAAUUGCUGCCAACAGACCCAUCAUCGACGUCAACGAUGACGAUGCAACUUCUCACAUUACACUAAAAGAGAAACUAAAUCGUGUGAAACGAGAAAAAAUGCAACUUUUAAAAGUGGCAGGCAGUAAGGAUGUUAUGUAGCAACAUCUCAAGUCGACAAAAUUGGCUGUUAACUGAGUUUAAGAGCGGCUGACAGCAUAACGCCCAUCAGCAUCGAUGCCGCCGGCUACGAUGGCAACAAAAAACAUGCGAAGAAUGUUUAAGUGAAUUGUGAAAAAGCUGAGAAAUUACUGAAGCUGUCGUGCGGGGAAGUGCGUGGCUAAAAGAAAAGAAAAAAAAACGACCAUCGAAUUUAUAGCACCGGCGAAGUUGCAGCGCAAGUGAAUAGUGAAACUUUUAAUUCUUUUCUAUUUGUAUUUGAUUUGAUUGACUUGUUUUCCUUUUUGGCAUUACGAUAGUUUACAUUUUAUUAUGUAUUUUAUUUUAUUUAAUUCAACUUCACUUGCUGAAACAUUUCAUUACGUUUAAGUAGCUUCUUUUUUAUACUUAUUUCCUUGUUAAAGUGAAUUUUGUGAUACAAUUAAAACAAAUUUUAUUUUUUCCAACCAACUAUUUUAGGCUUUGCAAGCCCCUCAAGGAGCUUUAAUGUCCUCAUUAAAACUUAUGCAGAUUAAAGCUUAUACAAUACGUGUGAAAACAGCAUCACUGUUGUUGUCAUUUAAUUACGACGUUUUGCGCCAUUUUUUUCAAUCCGCCAUUCCCAUGCUACCCGCAAUAUUUUUAA